UACAGAGGGGGCAAGCGUUGUUCGGAAUUACUGGGCGUAAAGCGCACGUAGGCGGACUAUUAAGUCAGAGGUGAAAGCCCGGGGCUCAACCCCGGAACUGCCUUUAAGACUGCAUCGCUUGAAUCCGGGAGAGGUGAGUGGAAUUCCGAGUGUAGAGGUGAAAUUCGUAGAUAUUCGGAAGAACACCAGUGGCGAAGGCGGCUCACUGGACAGGUAUUGACGCUGAGGUGCGAAAGCGUGGGGAGCAAACAGG
rnacentral:rRNA from 1 species